ensembl:lncRNA
UCUCAUUAACCAGCAGGAGUUAAAGAACCCAAAGCCACAUAUAUCGCUGCGAUAUAAAGUUUCGCAGGGCAGACAGAGGGACAGACAGAGGGGGAUAGAAGCCCUUUCACCGGGAACAUCUGGAACUUUCCAGCCUCUCCAGAUAGAGACACACACCAUUUUGAGGAUAUGAAAGCUGUCACAUCUUUUAUAUGGCGGCACUCUCAUUAAAGACUGGGAGGGCGUGCGCCACGGACUUACGAUCCACUCCCACACUCCUCUGACAGACGGAAGAUUCACACCAGGGACUGGCCAUUACAAGUUUUAACAUCUGAGUGGAGGGGAAUCGGGUGAAGCAACCGCAGGAAAACAGACAGCCCUCGUCUCGGACGACUAAAUACCUCCAUGCUGCCGUCCGAGAUGAAGCGGAACAGGAAGUGGUCACUCUAGAGGGCAAACUCCUCUUUCUUACAUGGGGAUUUGACAUGUCACUGA